GAGUCACGUUCUUGGAAGGCGUGACCAGCGUGUAAUUUAAGCAAAUGGAAUCUUUCCCAAAUGUCUUCUUUUACAACUGAAAAAACAAAUUAAGCAACAGAGGAAAAACAAAUCCAGAGAAAUAGCCUCUUCCGGGGAAGUCUGACCUCCCUGUCUAGAAGAGAAUGUGGAAAAUACAGAAAAGUAUAAGCAGAAGCAUAAAAAUUAUUCACAGUUGCACCCUUGGAGGGAGCUGUCCUAUAAAUCUUGGUGAAUUUGCUGCCCUUCUUUUUUCUGUGGAUCUGUCUAUUACAUGUGAUAGUUUUUAAAGCUGAUGUCAUGUUAUUGAUGUAGUUUUGCUUCUUGCUUUAUCCAUUGAAGACUAUAAUGUGAGA
rnacentral:lncRNA from 10 species